rnacentral:tRNA from 1 species
GGGCCUGUGGCGGAAUCGGCAGACGCAGCGGACUUAAAAUCCGCCGGGGUAAAACCCAUGAGGGUUCAAGUCCCUCCAGGCCCA